GGAGGGGAAGUAGGAGCCCCGAUGUUCUCCCCCUCUAUCUCCACCAAUCAGCAGAAGAGGAAGGUGGAGACAUGAGGUGAAGCUGUUGGAUCCCUCAUUUGCUCUACUGUGGUCACGAAGAGAGGACGUGGAGGAGAGACAGACUGGAUCCUCGGAACUGGUUUAUCAUUCGUGACGCCUCUAUAACGACCGUGCGCCUGAUGACACUGCUGCCGUACGACGAGCACUGCCCCGUCCCCGUGACCUGCAGCACAGCGAGGCACUCAUCCAGCUCUUCCAGGUUGAAAAUGGUCAAGAAGUCUCUCUCCACACAAUGCUUGAUGGUGGUGCUGCAGGAAGCUGGAAGGAAGAGGAGAAAAAUUAGGGGAUGCAAGUCAAAUCAAGAUCAGGAGCAAAUGAACACUAAUUAUUUUUUUUUUCAUAGAAGUCUUGAUCUGCUUCUGAAGCAUCAAUAUACUAAUUAUUAUAGACAAUUAUUACUGUGAUAUGCUAGGUACAUCAUUUCAUAGUGCAUGGUUAUGCAUGAGACUAUGUAUCUCUGAAAAUUCUAACAAUAUCGCUUA